UGUGAUUAAAACUCAUUUUAUUUAAGUUUAUAUAAUAUAAAUUUAAUAAGAUCUCUUUUAUUGCCAUUGUUUAAAAUUGAAUAGGCUAUGUUCAUUAAUUAUUAUAUAUAUCUUUAGUAAUUAUUUGAAACGGGAUUUUUUUUAAUAACUCUUAAUAGAGUAUUCACAGUAUUUUUAAACGACAAUCAUAUGCUUCACUUUAGGCAGAUAUCCUGUAUGAGUGUACUGACUGUGCAAGAGAACAGUUAACUAUACGCAUAGUAUUUGACAAUACAUUUGGCUAUCUAUAUUUACUAUAAAAAUUAAUUUCUUGAGAUUAUUUUGCCAAAUAUAUAAUUGAGUACCACAAUUACUUGUACUUAUAGUUAUGUAAUUAGUGUAAUUGUACAACCAUUUCGUUGUUCAUGUUUUAAAAAAA